rnacentral:rRNA from 1 species
CCCUUAGAUGUCCUGGGCCGCACGCGUGCUACGCUGACGCCUACAGCGAGUACUUCCUAGCCCCGAGAGGUGGCUGGUAAUCAGCAAUAGGCGUCGUGAUGGGGAUAGAUCUUUGGAAUUAUGGAUCUUGAACGAGGAAUGCCUAGUAAGCGCAGGUCAUUAGCCUGCGCUGAUUAAGUCCCUGCCCUUUGUACACACCGCCCGUCGCUCCUACCGAUUUCGAGUGGUCCGGUGAAUCUUUCGGACUGCGCGCGGCCUCGUGCCGUGUCGCGGAAAGUCAGGUAAACCUUAUCACUUAGAGGAAGGAGAAGUCGUAACA